CCCUUAGAUGUCCGGGGCUGCACGCGCGCUACACUGAAUGAAUCAGCGUGCUAGAAAACCUUGUUUGACAUGGCUAGGUAACCCCAUGAAAAUCAUUCGUGAUUGGGAUCGGGACUUGCAAAUGUGUCCCUUGAACGAGGAAUUCCCAGUAAGUGCGGGUCAUCAGCUCGCGUUGAUUACGUCCCUGCCCUUUGUACACACCGCCCGUCGCUACUACCGAUUGGAUGGCUUAGUGAGACCUUUGGACUGGACCGCCUUCCGGGGGUUUCGGCCCCUUUUGGCGAGGCUGGGAAGAAGGUCGAACUGGACUGUCUAGAGGAAGUAAAAGUCGUAACA
rnacentral:rRNA from 1 species